rnacentral:snRNA from 1 species
AUCGCAUUUAUUGAGCGCUUACUUUGGAUUUUUGGAGCCGGGAGAUGGAAUAGGAGCUUGCUCCGUCCACUCCACGCAUCGACCUGGUAUUGCAGUACUUCCAGGAACGGUGCACCUCCC